GCCGUGGUCUGGUGGCCGG
rnacentral:misc_RNA from 1 species